GAGUGUUUUUUCGAAAAGGAACUAAUUAUUUCAACGCGAAAAGGUUGUUCGAGCGGAUCAUCGAGGGGGAAGCCCAAUAUAUCUCGCAAUUCACUGGAGGAUUGAGCAAAAACACGCUUUCGAUCGAGCGCCAAGUGACAUAUUUAUCCAGGAUUUGCCAAGUAUCAACGCAGGUGGUAGAACCGUAAAUCAUUUCCUGGUUGGAAAUCCGUAGAGGAAAAAAUAACAAACAAUCAACGCUUAUAAAAACCGAUAUGCGUGGGCGUGAUCAUAAUGCAGAUUGUGUGUUUAAAACAGUGGUAACUGGUGAAAUGCAUAUAUUUCAAGGAAUAUUUUGGAACAAAAUGUAUAACGAUGGGAAAAAGGGCGUUAGCCUCCUGAAAACAUUUCGUUGGUUGCGUUGGACUGGAAUUCC